AUACCUUUCUCGGCCUUUUGGCUAAGAUCAAGUGUAGUAUCUGUUCUUAUCAGUUUAAUAUCUGAUAUGUGGACUAUUAGUUCACACGAUAUUAAAUUUAUUUUUUAUGGGAGAGAGCUAAAUGCAGUGGCUUGCUACUGUGGUUCUUAAGCAUCACCUUUGUUCUGCACUACUACAAAGGCUAGGUGCAUCCCUC
rnacentral:snRNA from 2 species